ACACAAGAGGUACAUUUGGGUCAUUUUUAAAUAUGAAUUCUUUAUCUUUAUUCAGCGUGUAGUCUGUCUCCUCAGUGGCCUCAUGUGUAGUUCAGUUACAAACACAAAGCAGUGUGAUAUUUGUGAUACCAUAUUGGCCUAAAUCACUUUAAUACACAGUGAAAUAUAAUCUACAUUUUCUAAUCCCAUGUCCAAUUGUUCCAUUGUCUCUCAGUCUUCUCUCUUCCUGUUAAACAUUAAAAUAUUUUUAAUGACUCAUUGCAGCUGAUAUCAAAGGAGGUGUGUAUUUAGAUUUCAGUUGGCAAAAUCUUUGUUUACAUUUUCAAAAGAGCGUGGUUGAGGUCUAUUUAUUUAUUUCUCCCUCAUCCCCCACCUCCUGAUCUAAUAUCAAGGGUGUGGGUAUAACUCUCGAAAUUUAAAUCAUUGCGGUCUGCAUUCACAUUGACUGUGUGCGACUCUUUGUUGAUGACCAACGUGUUUAUAAAGACAAGACGAACAAGAAGGCAAGUGCAACAAAACACGAGCACUUUACAACAACAACAUGUAGCCAUUGUGAAGGUUUUAACAAAGAGAUGUCACAUGCAGCUUUUCUGCUUUCAUCGACUUCAAGAGGGACCAUGCUGACACGGCAUGCUCUUCUAUAUAUACACUACAAUCAGGGGUCUGCGUAGUGUAAUGGCAAGAACAAACGUACUGCAUCACUGUAUAACAUACACAUGACUCUCUUAUAUAUACAGUAUGUCUCUUUUGUGUACCAGGCACAUAACUGUUUGGCAUCAAUACUUGCUCUGUGUAUGAUUGUUUGGACUACGUGAUGAGAACAUUUUAUUGAUAAUGAUGAUAUGGCACUAGAAAACAUGAUAUGACUGUUGUGUCCAGACUUCAGUGACACUCGUCUCCCCGGUCUGAGGAUCCUGACCCUGAAGACUGGAUAAAUAACUGAUGCUCCUUUCCCUCUGGACUCAUUCAGAGCAGAUUAUACUGAUGUAUGUUUUGCUGCUGUGAGUCCGUCUGCAGACGCUUGAAGUAAACCUACAGAAAGACAAGUGGUUGCCUUGAGUGUUUCUUUAUUCCACAGAAUUGCCACUGCAAUUUGCCGUUGUCAGCGUUUUUACUCGUGUGAGAGGACUUGGGCGCUCGGAGCGGCAGGUUAAGACACGGCUAGAGUCUGGGACUCUGUACCUCAACCUCCCCAAUAAGGAAGGGUGGAGACGUGGAGGCCUGCCACCCUGAGUGUCCGAGGCUCGCUUACCGCUGUGAUCCAGUGAACCUAGUUGCUGUGGCAGCACUCUCUUUCUGUAUGUCCCACAGUGUGCCAAGCUGGACCUGGACCUGGACUUGGCCCCCGUCAGAGGAAGUCAGCCUCAACAAUGAGCAGCAGCAGAGCCACAGCCUCAGCCACAGACUGUGGCCUCAAUAUACCCGGAUCUCGGAGGCCUGGAUGAGGCAACGGGAGGACAAGGAUCAACAGACUCCUUCAUUCCCGCACCUCCAACAUACAAAGAGGCCUACAAAUCACAUCGGGUGGGCCAAUCACCCCCAAUCACCCUUCCAGCCCUCAUCACACUCGAAACAACAAGAUGGCGAGACUGUAGCAGAGUUCUAGCACCUCACAACAUCUGGUCCAAGGGCCCUAGCAGACGCGUUUCACACAUCAAAAACAAGAUGACAAAGACACAUCAGCAAGAAGAGGAGCUCCAUUGUUUGUUGUAUUUGGCUGAACAACAAGAAAAAGUAAAAAAAUAUCAUGUGUGCGACAGCUUAAGAACAGGACCAAGGAUGUGGAAUAAAGUACAUAUAGAUCACCUCCUUCAGUAACUAUAAAUCCCAAAUUAUACUGUCUAAUCUGUAUAGCUGCAAGGGUCAGCCAAACACAGAGUGACCCAUAUUUGGUUUUAUGCGCUUGAAAUGUAUGACCUUGCAUACAUUAUAUGGAGAAACCUUCACCACUGAAGCCUCGAACUUGCUCUGAGAGAUGAUGUUAACGACACUGAAUGUACAUCCUGUGGCAUUUGUCUACUGUGGCUAGGAUCGUCAAUGUUAGCUUAACUCCUUGCAGCCUUUACAUGACUGUCAUGUUGUGUUUAGAAUGAUCAAUCUUAAAAUAAAUGUCAUUUUAAAACAC